UUGGUUGCAAUGAUUAGAUGAAAUAACUAUGUUUCUGAAUGCUAAUUUUAGCAUGGAAGACUCCAUUAAUAGCUGGAUAGUAUAUGAGCACC
rfam:Spinacia oleracea cultivar SynViroflay scaffold81558.con0001.1, whole genome shotgun sequence.